rnacentral:rRNA from 1 species
CCUACGGGGAGCUGCAGUGGGGAAUAUUGGACAAUGGGGGCAACCCUGAUCCAGCCAUGCCGCGUGUGUGAAGAAGGCCCUCGGGUUGUAAAGCACUUUCAGUGAGGAAGAACGCCUGGUGGUUAAUACCCAUCAGGAAAGACAUCACUCACAGAAGAAGCACCGGCUAACUCCGUGCCAGCAGCCGCGGUAAUACGGAGGGUGCGAGCGUUAAUCGGAAUUACUGGGCGUAAAGCGCGCGUAGGUGGCUUGAUAAGCCGGUUGUGAAAGCCCCGGGCUCAACCUGGGAACGGCAUCCGGAACUGUCAAGCUAGAGUGCAGGAGAGGAAGGUAGAAUUCCCGGUGUAGCGGUGAAAUGCGUAGAGAUCGGGAGGAAUACCAGUGGCGAAGGCGGCCUUCUGGACUGACACUGACACUGAGGUGCGAAAGCGUGGGUAGCAAACAGGAUUAGAUACCCUUGUAGUC